AGAAGAGCUUUUUCAGCCCCAGGGUGGAGGCUAUGCUGCUGCUCCUUUUCUUGUUCUGGUCCAAAGGGGCAGCCGAGGGGGAGCCGGGUCCUGUGCCAGCUCCUGCUGAUGCUCUGAAACACAAGGGUGGAGCCUCUUCUAGGUCCUGGGGUGUGUGUAUGCAAGACAAACAAGGUGCCUACUCUCAGGAGCUUAUGAACAACAGACCAUGAAAACCAAGGAGACCCAUCCCAUGUGGGUGAAGCAGACUGUGACCAGGCACUUCUUUGAAAUGGAGUGGUGGGGAAGGUCUCUCUGAGAAGAGGAGCUUUAAACUGAGAGUUGAAGAAGGAGCCAGGGCUGCCACGCCUGGAGUUGAGUAGUCCAGGUGUGGGGAACAGCUGGUGCCACAGCCUUGGGGCAGGAAGAGCUCUGGGUGUUUAAGAACAGAAAGGGGCCAGGCCAUGAGGCUUGGGUGUAGGUGAUGAGAAAGGGGGAAGAGGCAGGACAAGAUGAGGUCAGACAGGCAGGCAAGGCGGAUUCCACAAAGCAGGACCAACCACAGCCGGGGUGUGAAGUCUACUUCAAGUGCAGGGAAAAACCAUUGCAGGCAGGGUUUUCAGUAGGAGAAUGACACCAUUUAAUCCAAGUUUUAAAAAGCGACCCUUGACUAUUGUGUGGAGAAGGAAAUGUAGGGGCAAGAGUGAAGGCAGAGAGCAGGUAGGGGCGACUAGAAUUGUAUAGCAAAGAAGCCAUGAGUUCAGGCCAGGAGAAGUGGUGGGAGGCAGGGGGUUCCGGAGCUGGCAAGGACUUGCAGAGGGUUACAGUGGGAGAGAAGGAAGAGGAAGCAGCCCAGGACUCCUGGAUUCGGGCUUGUGUGCUGUGCAGACAGACAGUGAUGUGUUUGCCGGGAAGGGGACAUGGGCGAAGCAGUUGUUGAGCUUUUUGUUUGAGAGGCCCAUCAGACCCCCUGAUGGAGAUGUCCAGGAGAAACUGGGCAUGCAGCUCUGAAGUUCUGGAGAGCAGAUGGUGCUAGAGAUGGAGAGCUGGCUCUGGUGCCUCUUCAGGCUUAGAGCUGCCUGCAGCCACCAGGCAUAGUGUGUCACAGGGAAGAGAAGGCCCUGGCCAGAACUCCGGGCUCACCAAGGCUUUGAGGCAAGCCAAGGAGGUCCCGAGGGCCAGGACUCGGUCCCCACCCUUCCCCCACUCCCCCCUUCUCCCCCCAGCUCUGCCUGAGCUGAAGGAGAGAAGGGAAAUGUGAUUGCAUCUGGUUACUUUCGAGAAUCCAAGCAGAGAGCAGGAGGAAGCCUCUCAGACAGGUAACCCCAUUCUGGGCCCCUCCCCAGGGCUAGGGCUCUGCUAGCUUUGCCCCAGGCACCGGCACAGUGUCUGCAGCUAGAGGCCGUUCAAUGGAUGCUCCAUGAAUGAAUGAUCAGGUACAUCAGACUAAACGACACUGGGAGAGGAGUGGGAGGGCUGCCAGGCUUGUUCACAGUCUAGGGAUCCUCUGAAGACUAGGGGCAGGGAGGUGGGUCAUGCCACCACUCCAGGGGGUCUCUGUCCCCUCCCAGAGCCCCCAUUCCCACCUCCUUCUGCAAUCUGGCUCUUUCUCCUGUCACUCACCUUGACAGCACAUGUCCUCCAGAUCCUGACCCUGUCCUCUGCAGGCUUCCCUCUGAUUCCUUGCUGGACUCUGACUCCUCUGAGGACAGGGAGAGGGUGAUGCCCGUGGAGUUGAUGGUGGCAACAUCUGCUGAGCCAAGAAAGCCCUGGGGUCCUCCUGAAACAAGCACAGCAUCCCACCUGAGUCAGACCGGCUCAUCCCACAGGUCCUGUGGGGGAAUGGGACAUUCCCAGCAACAGGGGGAGGGUGAGAAGAAGCUGGAGAGGUGGAGCUCAAGGAGAGCAGUGGAGAGACCUGGGAAGCAGCAAGGGAAGGUGGGGUGGCCUCUUAGAUGACCAGGGCUGAGGACCCCUCAUGAGUGUCCUCUAAGCUGGAAACUAUUUGAGGACAGGGACUGAGUCUUGUUGACUGCUGUAACCUCGUCACCCAGCACAGCACCUGGUCCACAGUAGAUGAUCACUGUUUGUUAAAUGAAAAGGUUGACUAUGAUAAGCCAUGUCCCUUCUAUAUCAAGGGACACAGUGGGAACAGGGGAAAAUUUUGUAUUCCUGGGACAAAACCCACAAUCUUGUCAGUUGUGAUUUCUGAGAGCUUUAAAAUAGCCAUCAUUUCUGGAGAUCUGUUAUGUGCUAGGCAGCAAGUGGAAUCCUCUCCAGAGAUGAGUUCACGGAGUCCUAGGAGAUGGUGCCGUCAUCGUCCUCACUUUAUGGAGGAGGAUGCUGGCAGGCUAAGGGACUGAGGGACUCGCCGAGGGCCUCACUCGCUCUGCUUCAAGCUCCAAGGUAAAGGCUCACGUUGCCCAGAGAGGUCAGCAGGUCUCAGAAGGGAAGCCCUGCAGGAAGUGGUUAGGGGCAAGCCCACAGCCUGCCUAGAGCCCACCAGAGAAGGAAAUCGCCACUCAGCACAGGGUGGGAGGGACCCCAGGGGGAGGCGGUUGCCUCAAGGUUUGUGUAAGCAAGGGAGGAAGAGGGACCAAGUCUGUGUGUCCCUGUGCAGUGGAGGGGACUUUGCAUCCACAUCCUCAAUAAGGUCUGUCAUCUCUCUGCCCUCUCUCCCUCCACUCUGUUGCCAAGCCCUGGGUCCCUCUUGAGCCAUCCCAGCCCCAAGACUGUCAGAGCCGUGGUCACAUUAGAGCAAAAAUGUGUGGAGUGAGCCUGUUAUCUCUGCCUAAAAGUGAGCGGCAGAGUUGGUCACCUGGGAUCACAACACCAGGGAUCAGAGCCUGAGCCUGCCAACCCCCAGGAUUCUCCCACAAUAUAAGGACCCCUUCCAAAGGCAAAGUGGUGAGACCCACACCCUUCAGCAGCCUUGCCUGCUGAAACCUACUGGUCCACCAACAGGCCCAGGGGCCAGGGAGGGUCUGGUACCAGAAAGCACACCACCUAGGAGCCCUGUUCCCUUGGUCACAGGGUCCUCUGGACAGUGUGUCUGCCUGGCCACAGAAUGCCUCAAGGGCAGGACUCCUGCUCAAGUAUUCACAUGUGCAUUCCCCACAGUGCCUAGUAUAGUGCCUGGCACAUAACAGGUGCUCAGCCAAUGCGGAAGGAAUGAAUGAGUGAAUGAAAUGAAAUAAUGAUGCUGGAGGGGCAGGGCCUCAGCCAUGUGAUUAGUGGACAUCUACUGUUCUAAACAAAUAGUAAAUCCUGGAGCUGUUGCCUCUUCCUGAGCUGUUGGGAGUACAUCCCUUAAAGUCCAGGCCUCCAGCAGCCAUGGAGCUUGGAGCUUGGAGCUUGGAACCUCAGGGUUCCCAACAGGAAGAGGACGUCUCCACCACCUUCCCCAUGGUUCUGCCUCCCCCGGGAGGGAGUUGCUUAGUCUGCCUCCAGGCCGGCGGUCAAUCCUGCAUCCAGCCUCCACCAGCACCCCUGACACCUCAGAGCAGCUCCAAGGAGCUGCCGAGGUGGUAUGUGACGCUGCCAUCUGACUAUUGAGAUAAAAGGGAAUGACUCUGAA